rnacentral:rRNA from 1 species
UACGUAGGGGGCAAGCGUUGUCCGGAAUCAUUGGGCGUAAAGAGCGUGUAGGCGGCUCGGUAAGUCCGCUGUGAAAGUCCAGGGCUCAACCCUGGAAUGCCGGUGGAAACUGUCGAGCUAGAGUCCGGAAGAGGCGAGUGGAAUUCCUGGUGUAGCGGUGAAAUGCGCAGAUAUCAGGAGGAACACCAAUGGCGAAGGCAGCUCGCUGGGACGGUACUGACGCUG